rnacentral:tRNA from 1 species
GGAGAGGUGGCCGAGUUGGCUGAAGGCGCUCGCCUGGAAAGCGGGUAAACGUGAGAGCGUUUCGAGGGUUCGAAUCCCUCUCUCUCCGCCA